AUUACACGACGAAAAACUUCAUCAAAUUUGUUUUCCCCACACAAGCGAAAAAGCGACCAUUGCUCACGGGACAACCCAAAAGUCUCUGGUGUGCAUUCGCUGAAGCCCGCGCGUACUUUAAAUACCCGCUAACGUCGGAAAACGUUAUUAAACGCGCAAUCGUCAGUGUCGUCUCGUGGUUGCAGCAAGCGCGCGUGCCAGUUCGCGAAUCGCGAAAUCCGUUUUAUUAAACACACACACACACCACACGCUUAACGGAAAAAAAAUCACACACCACCGAGUGCGUCUCUUUAAACCGAUCGGUACUACCCGUGCGUUAUUUCCGUCGAGGGGUAACCAGUGACCAAGUAGCAGCAGAAAAGAAAAACAAAGUAAAGAUUUUAUUCGCGCAAAAGCGAUACACCAAAUCCUGCCGAGUCGAGGUGCUAAUUUGUGGUGCCCCCUUUCGGAGUGUUUAAUUUGUUUGUUUGUUUGUUUGUUUUGGCGUGUGAAACACCAUCUGGAGUGUGGUUAGUAAAGUUCUGCGUACCGAAAUCCGCGAUCGUUACCCGCGCCGGAAACCCGGAUGAGUAAAUAAUUCUGAACCCAUCGUUUUGCCGUAGCACGCUCUCGAUCGUUUGCUGGGGCGGGUUUGCUGCUGCAAGAAAGUGCAAAAAUUGCGUACCCCGAUAGCGGGUUCUGUUUACAAUCGCUAGUAGUACUGUCCCCGUCCCGUUGUUUGUGAUCAACCGAUCAUCAUCAGACCGAUCGAUUCGAUAUCCGGGCGUUGCGUUCAGUAUUGCUCUCACAGCAAAACCGUAGUUAAUGACCGCGGGCUUAUGAUAGUGGCUGGUGUGGUGAGUCCCGAGAGUCUUCCUCCCGGGUAACGCCAGCAUUUGGUUGCAUUUGGUUGAAGUUCUGGAGUACGAAAACAAAGUUUGUGGCGUUGGCUAGUUAUAGCUCAGUGAAAAUCGACGAGUACAUCAACAAAGUGCAAGUGCAAUAUCGCAAGUGGACGUGAGUGUCUGCAGUGCAGCAAGCAUCAUCAAGAGUUCCGCGAUCAUCAAGCGACGGAGACUCAUAUUCUCGCCGCCGUCGUGGAAGAGUUCUUCCGCCCCAAAAGGAUAUAGCCGAAACCGUACCGUACGCUCGGUACUGCCGAAGUGUGGUUUUAUGUUGGCGUAAUCGUGACUGUCUCGCACGAGAUAGAGCGAGCCGAAAAGUAUACACGCAAAAGAUGUGUUCCCGCAAUCUAGCAAUUUCGUUGGCAUUGAUUAUCGCACUGGUACCACUGUCAACUGUCGCCUUACCUCACCACAGCAUCGUGAAGCGCAGCUCUUUUUUUGACAUCGAAUGUAAAGGACAGUUCAACAAACAGAUCUUCUACCGGUUGGACCGAAUAUGUGAAGACUGUUACUCACUGUUCCGGGAGCCACAGAUACUGUCCUUCUGCAAAAAGCAGUGUUUCACGACAGAUUACUUCAAGGGCUGUAUAGACGCGUUACAGCUGACGGAUGAGAUCGAAAACUUUAAACCGCUGAUAAAAGUGCUAAACGGUGCUGAUCCAAACACGUUAUAAAACCUUCUGGCACUGGCAGAUAAUAUACGGUUUGACCGACACUGCAUUCUGCAUUCGUGCCACUAGCGCUCCUCCAGUUAACCUGAUCCCAACCUUACCCCCCGAUCGACCGAAACAUUUUCGCAUUUGGAAACGAGUGUAGCAUCCGAGCAGUGGAACGAUCGAGCCGAACGACGAACAACACUAUUCGCCUGCCAGGCAGAAGCUUUGCCAUGGCACUUGGAGGAGAUGUGUUGAUAUGCUGUUAGAUGCAACGCUCGGUAUAACUAUUCGAACAACCGACGGAAGACUACCACCAGUGGAAACUGGAUCGAUCGGCGGACCCACCAGUACACCAAAUAUGUACCACACACCAGCAAAACCCCGGCCUGUUUUUUAUGUUUCAUGCAUUUAGUUCUCUUGACUUAAUGGGAGGGCUGCUUCGGUACGGACUACUUCCUGGCCUGCGUCGAAGCACUGUUUCUCGAGGAGGAGAAGGAAAAGUUUAUGAAAUGGCGCGAAAUGUUGGGCAAAAAGAAGUAAGCUGUGUGUAAGCCGGGAUUGUUGUGCGCCAUCCAGCUGACGCCGAUGUAAAGCAGUUACGACGAGUGUGGCACCUUUUUGCUUCUUGUUUUGUGAAAACCAGCCGCCAUCCCCGUUUCGAACCAACCGAAUCAAUCCAAUCACCAACAACAACAAUGUGCUCUCUACUAAUGUUUUGUGCGAAGCGAAGAUAGGAUAGGCUAUAGAUGGCUUGUUUGCUUCCCUUGCAGUGCUGAAACGUUUAUUUAUGCUUAAGUACUUUAGCGCCGCCUGUAAAAUAUUGACCGAGGUUCGUUCUCGAUCACCCGGAUAUUGGCCGACUCUAGAGAGAAAGAUAUCUAUGUAUAGUGAGCGAGAGAUUAUGCCAUUAAUGUUACACGUUAAACAGCUUCCGUUACAUUUGUACAUACUUAUUUCACCCGGCUACCGCCUAGCUAGUUUGAACAGUGCAACAGUCGAAGCAGUACACAGGGUGCCGUGCGUGUGAAUGAUGGCCAUUAGAGUAGAGAUAGGCAGGAAGGGUUGAAGUUGAAAGGAGUGUGUGUGCGUGUGUGCGUGCGUGCGUGCUUUGAGUGGAUGUGCCUGGUCGGGUUUAGAAAGGGGCUAAAAAGCCCGGAGAGCGGGUGUUAUGUUACGUUCGAACGGACGAAAGAAAGGUAUUUAUUUUAAUCCUUAGCGACAACUAAAGCCAACAAAUGGGAAUAAGCAUAUAUGAUAUAAUUUUACAUUGUUCAGUUUACGAAGCAACAUGUGCAAGCUUGCGGAAGAAUUAAACCUCCUUAAUUAUGUAAGCGGCUAGGUGAGCAGAUUAACUUAUUUAGUUAUCAGUGCAUUGCUAAGACAUUUGAAUGGGGCCCCGUUGACGGUAGUGUGGAGCCGAGCGCACGAGAUCCAGCGAGCAGGUAACAAGUGCAAGCGCUUUCAGUGACAAAAGUAUGCAAAACGAAACGAUCGUGAUCGCACAAACGAAAAAGAGAAAAGCAAACGAGCAACUAUGUUUAACUAGUUCAGUUGAGCGGUGUUGUGGGAAGAAAACAGGGACGAAAAGUUCGAAAGCACUGAAAUGAAGAAGGAAAGGUACCGAAGGUGGAAAAUGUGGUGGUGUGUGGUGCUAAGUUGUAUGCGGCGGGGAAGGUAAUGGUUGUCGUCUAGAGAGGAGCCGUUGGCCAUUGCCACCACCCACCCCGAACAGCACUUGCCACAAAGUCCUUUAUUUCUUGGAUUUCCUUCGAGGAGUACUUGGUCCUCGUGCUUGUGCCCGACUGGCAGAUGUCAUUUUUUGUUUCUUCACACACCACACACACUCACGCAAGCAAAGCUUCCUGUAGCGCAUAGGUCUACCACAGGUCUGCCCCCGUUCUAGUAGUGAUCAAACAUCAUCUUAUGUAAAAUGUGUAUUUAUGUUUUCAGAGAAAAACGGGAACGUGAACGAUAAAGUACGGCAAACGGCGUAUGUUCUAUUUUGAAAUCUAGUCCAGAAAGCACACACACUAACUUUUAGUUUUUUUUAAUUAUUAUUAUUAUUAUAAGCAUAAGCAUGUUUUCUUUGUAAUACAAGUGGAAGUGGUGAUCACACACACACACACACACACAGGCAGGCGUAGAGUAGCACAAAACACAGCCAGAUGCCACAGUUUCCCACGGAUCCAAGGAUUGGCAACUGCAUUCUUCAUCUACUUUCUACCACGUGCCAAGCGGGCGAAAAUAAUCAAAGAUUAUAUUGUACAAGUAUAAUGCAAACAAAAGAGAAGAGUAUUUUUUAAAUUUCAAACCAUAACGAUCAAUCCAAAUUCACAGACACACUCACACAGACUCUUGCUUCCGAAUACAAAAAGAAACGCGGUACAGUGGGGUGCCCGCAAAUCGCAUAUAAAUAUUAAAACUAUACGUAUCUAAGUUUAAUCGCAUCGUAAUAGCAUAUUGUUUUCUGCUAGCAAACAAACAAACAAACAGACAAGGUUUUAAACAACAGGCGAAGGAAAUCAAUUUUGACAUUCCUUUUUAGACAGUAUUUUUUUCCCCCGAACUACGAAGGAAUAAUAAUUUUUCGUUACGUUGCUAUUGUCUAUGCGUUAUGCGCUCUAUCGUACACUUAAUUUUAGUUUCUAAUUUUGUUCUUCCGUUUGUACAAAACACCCGACUUUCAAAACUUGCAACAGGCGACAGCCACACAGCAUCGCGUGUCUACAGAUUCUUUCCUUUUUUUUGUUUUUGGUUUACAGUCGCUAGGACGCGGUGAAAUCUUACCUAACAUCCGGCUAACAUUAGAGGAACAGCGUGCAGACGGGAAUUUACGGAGCUAGUUUGAUGCUACCUUUGACAACCAGUUAAGCUAAAGUGUAGAUAACAAAAGGUCAAUCUAACGUGUAUGCUAACGUAUCUAAAAGAUACCUUCAAAACCAAUGCGCCGUGUGGACACAGCUAAACGAGAUUCUGAACCAGUUGACUAGAAACUAGUGCACAUACAUACAAGAGAGCCACUUUGUCGUUUUUUUGGAGCAAACCGCCUGUCUAGAAAAGUGAAAGGCAAAAGAGUUAUUAAACAAACAGCAAGCACCAUGAAAAAUUUACAAAAAAAAAAACACACACACACACACACACACACACGUAAAUCAAUGUUAAAGCUUCCCUUAAACGCCCACCACAGGUGCUGCGGUUAAUGAGCGGGGGGAAUGGAAUAUAAGAAAACAGGAACAAACAAACAAAAAAAGAAACAUUUGGUGUAAAUUUAAUGUAAACAAACAAAAAACCGAAUUCGAUGGAUGGAGGAAAACUGUUUUGAACACACAUACACACACACACACAAAAUGCUAAAGAACGCGAGAGGAUGUGGUGUAAACAAAACUAUGAUACUAAUAUGAUGGCAAACAUACUAUGUUAAAUAAAAGUACAGUGGAAGAAAUAAUAAAAUAGAACCAUUGAACAUGUGUA